GCAAGUCGAACGCGAAAGGGACUUCGGUCCUGAGUAAAGUGGCGCACGGGUGAGUAACGCGUGGAUAAUCUGCCCUUAUGAUUGGAAUAACAGUUGGAAACGGCUGCUAAUACCGGAUACGCUCAAAAUGAACUUUUUGAGGAAAGAUGACCUCUGCUUGCAAGUUAUCGCAUAAGGAUGAGUCCGCGUCCCAUUAGCUAGUUGGUGGGGUAAUGGCCCACCAAGGCUUCGAUGGGUAGCCGAUUUGAGAGGAUGAUCGGCCACACUGGAACUGAAACACGGUCCAGACUCCUACGGGAGGCAGCAGUGGGGAAUAUUGCGCAAUGGGCGAAAGCCUGACGCAGCGACGCCGCGUGAGGGAUGAAGGUUUUCGGAUCGUAAACCUCUGUCAGAAGGGAAGAAACUGUGCUGUGCUAAUCAGCAGUGCAUUGACGGUACCUUCAAAGGAAGCACCGGCUAACUCCGUGCCAGCAGCCGCGGUAAUACGGAGGUGCAAGCGUUAGUCGGAAUUACUGGGCGUAAAGCGCACGUAGGCUGUUGUGUAAGUCAGGGGUGAAAUCCCACGGCUCAACCGUGGAACUGCCUUUGAUACUGCGCGACUUGAAU
rnacentral:rRNA from 1 species